rnacentral:lncRNA from 1 species
UCCUGUCUGAGGAGCUGGAGUCCUGUAUCACACCUCCCCUGGGCUCCAAGACACUCCUCUAGAGACCGGAUGACUUGUUGACCGUAUGACCUGCAGGGCCCUGGUCAGCUUAGACAGGUCAUUACCGACCUGCAGAGGCCCUGGUCAGCUUGGACAGGUCAUUACCAACCUGUAGGGCCCUGGUCAGCUUGGACAGGUCCUUACCAACCUGCAGGGGCGCUGGUCUGCUUGGACUGGUCAUUAUCGACCUGCAGGGGCUCUGGUCAGCUUGGACAGGUCAUUACCAACCUGCAGAGGCCCUGGUCAGCUUGGACUGGUCAUUUCCGACCUGCAGGUCCCUGGUCAGCUUGGACAGGUCAUUACCAACCUGCAGGGCCCUGGUGAGCUUGGACUGGUCAUUACCAACCUGUAGGUCCCUGGUCAACUUGGACUGGUCAUUACCAACCUGUAGGUCCCUGGUCAGCUUGGACAGGUCAUUACCGAUUUGCAGGGGCCUGGUCAGCUUGGACAGGUCAUUACCGACCUGCAGGGCCCUGGUCAGCUUGGACUGGUCAUUACCAACCUGUAGGUCCCUGGUCAGCUUGCACAAGUCAUUACCGACCUGCAGGGGCCUGGUCAGCUUGGACAGGUCAUUACCAACCUGCAGGGGUCCUGGUCAGCUUGGACAGGUCAUUAUCGACCUGCAGGGGCCCUGGUCAGCUUGGACAGGUCAUUACCGACCUGCAGGGCCCUGGUCAGCUUGGACUGGUCAUUACCGACCUGUAGGUCCCUGGUCAGCUUGGACAGGUCAUUACCGACCUGUAGGGCCCUGGUCAGCUUGGACAGGUCAUUACCGACCUAUAGGGCCCUGGUCAGC